UUCCUUUAGGAUAUAUUUAAAGGUAAAACCUGCCCUAUGUAAUUAAUAAAUGGCUGCGGUAUCUUAACUGCACUAAGGUAGCAUAAUUAAUUGUCUUUUAAAUGGUGACUUGUUUGAAUGGUUUAAUGAGAAAAAGUUUAUCUUUUAGCUAUAAUGAAAUUAUAUUUUAAGGUCAAAAUACCUAAAUGUAAAAGAAAGACGAGAAGACCCUGUUGAGUUUAACAAAGAAAUUUGUUUAAAUGGGAAAUUAGGUUCCCAUUUGGAACCUAUAAGAUCCUAAGGCUUUCAAAGUCUUCGAAAAAGGAUAAAAUUACCACAGGGAUAACAGGAUAAUACUUAUUGAGAGUCCUAAUCAAAAUAAGUGAUUAUUACCUCGAUGUUGAAUCGAAAUUACUAUUUGAUGCAGCAGUUAUUAUAGUAGGUCUGUUCGACCUUUAAAAUUUCACGUGAUUU
rnacentral:rRNA from 1 species